rnacentral:rRNA from 1 species
CCUACGGGAGGCAGCAGUGGGGAAUAUUGCACAAUGGGGGGAACCCUGAUGCAGCGACGCCGCGUGAAGGAAGAAGUAUUUCGGUAUGUAAACUUCUAUCAGCAGGGAAGAAAAUGACGGUACCUGACUAAGAAGCCCCGGCUAACUACGUGCCAGCAGCCGCGGUAAUACGUAGGGGGCAAGCGUUAUCCGGAUUUACUGGGUGUAAAGGGAGCGUAGGCGGCAGUGCAAGUCAGAAGUGAAAGCCCAAGGCUCAACCAUGGGACUGCUUUUGAAACUGUACAGCUAGAUUGCAGGAGAGGUAAGUGGAAUUCCUAGUGUAGCGGUGAAAUGCGUAGAUAUUAGGAGGAACACCAGUGGCGAAGGCGGCUUACUGGACUGUAAAUGACGCUGAGGCUCGAAAGCGUGGGGAGCAAACAGGAUUAGAUACCCCAGUAGUC